AUGGAAAUCCCUACUCCUUGCAUAUAUGGGCAUCUCCAUAGCCCGUUGAUUAGCCGCGUCAAUGUGAGACUUUCUCCUUUUUUGUCUUCUCACACAAUCUCCAUCAUCAUAUUCUAUUCCACCCAUAGUGCUAUGUCCAUGGCUCGCGCUCAUAUAUUGCAUGCAAAUUUAAAAAAGUUUGAAAAGGCUAAGUACGAAACAAUUGCUUGGCUUGUCAUCAGGGUUGUGAAUGAUGGGAGCAUUUUGUGUGACGAAAAUGAAGCAUGGACAAACUAUAUGAUUUGUAGGGAUAAGCUUUGUUUGGCUAUGUUAUUUUGA
rnacentral:rRNA from 1 species